GCCACCCUGCCCCUUCUUUUCUGAUGCCAGGACUUCCUGGCAGUGUGGAGUCCGUGACCCUCACAUCCUCCCAGGGAAUCUGUCCUCUGCCUCCAUGGUCCCUUACCCAACCCUUAACCUCCAGCUUCUGUAGAGAUCCAGAACUAAGCAGACCUGUCAUUUUCCCAGCCUGAGGUUGAGUAUCUCAGAACAUCUGACCUUGGCCCCAUCAAGAAGCUUCCCCAAGGUCAAGGCUGUACAUAGGCGCACAUCUCAGGAAAGAGGUCUGGGGCAGAGAUGUUCUCGAUCCACUACUGCCUUGGCUGCUUCAGCUCUCUCAGGCCCCGGGAAAGAUGUCCUGCUCUUCUCUUCAGCACCACUCCCAGGGGCCCUGGGCCUCUAGCCUUGAGAGCACAGCGCAUGUUUAGAAUCUUCACAGAGUAAUCUACACGGAGAAGCCACACAGGACCAGUCUUGGGCCACGGGCUGGCUUCUCUCCACUGGACAAGAGACAGGGAAAUGGCGCAAAGGGAGAGACUCCGGUGAAGUGAAUCCAGUCGGUCUCAAGAGGCUAUUGUGGCUGAAUAUCUAUAUAUGGGACUCUGUGCGGACAUGCUUUCCUUCCUCUUGAGGAGAUGCCAAGGAGGAGGACUAAAUAAGUCACAAGGUCUUUUUGUCUCGUUUCUGAGCCACUGAGUUCCAUCAUGGUUGCACACAGGAACACGGGCGUCUUGCUGGUAGAUACACCACUGAAGAAACGUCUCCCCUCCACAGCAUUAACAGCAAAAGCUCCUUAUGGAGAACCUGGUGUCAGGAGCCUCUCCCCAGGGCUGGAGACUUGAGCCGCACCCUGAGAGUUUGUGAGCAACCCCUGGCCCUGAGAUGUGUGAGACUCUGCUGCCGUGGAUACCUACCCCAUCACUGUGAGUCCUCGGAGGUAGUUCCCAUGUGGAACACACGGCUUAGUAAAGGAAUACAAAUGUGCUAAAUUGA